CUUACACAUGCAGUCGAACGGUAACAGGUCUUCGGACGCUGACGAGUGGCGAACGGGUGAGUAAUACAUCGGAACGUGCCCAGUCGUGGGGGAUAACUACUCGAAAGAGUAGCUAAUACCGCAUACGAUCUAAGGAUGAAAGCGGGGGACCUUCGGGCCUCGCGCGAUUGGAGCGGCCGAUGGCAGAUUAGGUAGUUGGUGGGAUAAAAGCUUACCAAGCCGACGAUCUGUAGCUGGUCUGAGAGGACGACCAGCCACACUGGGACUGAGACACAGCCCAGACUCCUACGGGAGGCAGCAGUGGGGAAUUUUGGACAAUGGGCGAAAGCCUGAUCCAGCAAUGCCGCGUGCAGGAUGAAGGCCUUCGGGUUGUAAACUGCUUUUGUACGGAACGAAAAAGCUUCUCCUAAUACGAGAGGCCCAUGACGGUACCGUAAGAAUAAGCACCGGCUAACUACGUGCCAGCAGCCGCGGUAAUACGUAGGGUGCGAGCGUUAAUCGGAAUUACUGGGCGUAAAGCGUGCGCAGGCGGUUAUGUAAGACAGAUGUGAAAUCCCCGGGCUCAACCUGGGAACUGCAUUUGUGACUGCGUGGCUAGAGUACGGUAGAGGGGGAUGGAAUUCCGCGUGUAGCAGUGAAAUGCGUAGAUAUGCGGAGGAACACCGAUGGCGAAAGCAAUCCCCUGGACCUGUACUGACGCUCAUGCACGAAAGCGUGGGGAGCAAACAGGAUUAGAUACCCUGGUAGUCCACGCCCUAAACGAUGUCAACUGGUGUUGGGAAUUAGUUUUCUCAGUAACGAAGCUACG
rnacentral:rRNA from 1 species